rnacentral:lncRNA from 1 species
AUGAAUUUACUCUUGGUAUUAUUCUGUCAAAUUCUGUACAUUGUGAAGCUGAUACACAUUUUGUACAACUUACACAACUUACUAAAGAACAAAAAACAAAAAAAAUCCCAGAGCUUGCGGGUAUUUUCCUGUGCUAAUUAUUCAUUACCAAGAAAAUUAAAUCAACUAAUUGUUGCGACUAAAAUCAUUGGUAUGGCUGAACUUGGAUAUGCAGAUGGCCCCCCUCUGCAGGCUCUCCUAGCUCUUUGUUUGGUACUCUACUUCAAGGGAUUGUCGGAUUCGGGCCACCGGACGGGACAUCACCGCUAA